AAAAAAAAAAAAAAAAAAAGAGUUAUAAAUCAUGAACUAGAGGAUCUCAAGAGCCUGUGUCGCUCACCUUGGUCUAUGUGCAUAUUAAACAAUGGACACAGAUAAAUUCAUGACAAAAUUGUGUUUUGGUGAUCUUGAUGUGUUUGUAGAUCUUACUUUACUGGACAUUCUUCUUGCUACAAUUAUCUCUUUCUAUAAUGAACUUGGCCCAGUAAUUACAAUGGACAAUAUAUUCUAAAAUUGUUAAAAAAUGACUAUAAAGGGCAAAUACUCCUUAAUGGGUCAACUGACAAUUUUGGUCAUGUUGAUUUAUUUGUAGAUCUUACUUUGCUGAACAUUAUUGCUGUUUACAGUUUAUCUCUAUCUAUAAUAAUAUUCAAGAUAAUAAGCAAAAACUGCAAAAUUUCCUUAAAAUUACUAAUUCUGGGGCAGCAACCCAACAACAGGUUGUCUGUUAUCUGAAAAUUUCAGGGCAGAUAGAUCUUGACCUGCUAAACAGUUCAUCCCCUGUCAGAUUUGCUCUAAAUGCUUUGGUUUCAGAGAUAUAAGCCAAAAUCUACAUUUCGCCCCUAUGUUCUAUUUUUCGCCAUGGCAGCCAUCUUGGUUGGUUGGCAGGGUCACGCCACACAUUUUUAAAAUAGAUACCCCAAUGAUGAUUGUGGCCAAGUUUGGAAUAAUUUGGCCUUGUAGUUUCAAAUAAGAAGAUUUUUGUACAAUAUUACUAAGAUUUACGAAAAAUUCUUAAAAAUUGACUAUAAAGGGCAAUAACUCCUAAAGGGGUCAACUGACCAUUUCGGUCAUGUAGACUUAUUUGUAAAUCUUACUUUGCUGAACAUUAUUGCUGUUUACAGUUUAUCUCUAUCUAUAAUAUAUUCAAGAUAAUAACCAAAACAGUAAAAUUUCCUUAAAUUACCAAUUUAGGGGCAGCAACCCAACAACAGGUUGUCUGAUUCAUCUGAAAAUUUCAGGGCAGAUAAAUCUUGACCUGAUAAGCAAUUAAUCCCCAUGUCAGAUUUGCUCUAAAUGCUUUGGUUUUUGAGUUAUAAGCCAAAACCUGCAUUUUAACCCUAUGUUCUAUUUUUAGCCAUGGCGGCCAUCUUGGUCGGUUGGCCCGGUCACCAAACACAUUUUUUAAACUAGAUAUCCCAAUGAUGAUUGUGGCUAAGUUUGGUUUAAUUUGGCCCAGUAGUUUCAGAGGAGAAGAUUUUUGUAAAAGUAAGCGAUGACGGACAACGACGACGGACGCAAAGUGAUGGGAAAAUGGAAUUGAUGAGUACUUAUAAAACAGUAUUUGAACAAUACUUGUAACUGAACUGUAUUUUACAUGGUAUAAGAUGACCACAAAUAUAAUACACUGUACUUUAUCUCAAAUAUAAUACACUGUAUUUUAUAGUACAAAAUGAAAUAUAAUACACUGUAUUUUAUAGUACAAAAAUAUAACUGUAUCUUGUUUUAAAACUUCUAUUUUUAUGAAUAAAUAAAACCCAAUUCAUAGUUGGACAUAAAUCUGUACAUUAAAGCAUUGUACAUAUGUAUGUUGUUUCAUGGUUUGACAAUUGAUUAUUUUUAAGCAUCCAAACUUCUACUACAGUUAAAAAAUAAUUAGUUCUGUGUGAAUUCCUUUUUUUCCUUUUUUUCUGUCACCAAUAUUUGGGGCAAUAUAAGUUUAUUGGUAAAAAAGACAUUUUAUGAAAAAUUGACACUUGUGAAUUGCCAAAUUCUAUUUUUCACGAAAUUUCCAAAUAUAUAUUGAAAAUAAAAAAAUUGAGACUUGUCAUUUUCUAUAUUGAAGAUAUAAAAAUAAUAAUGCUAAGUAUAAAAAUUCAAAGAAAGUGAAUACUGAAGGUUUGUUAAAUAUAAAUAUUAAAGUGUAGCUGUACCUAAACCUUCGUUGGAAUGUUAGGACUGAUUGGUUUUGUUUUUCUUCAUAGAAAGCAUUCUUAUUGUUUUAACCCCUAUCUUACUUCUUACUUUUUAAGAUAUAUAUGAAAGAAUUUGACUCCGAAAGUAUGUGGCUUUAAUGUCCCUUUUUAAUGUAUUGCUAAAAUACAGUUCAAUACAAGACCAGAGAAAUCAAAUUCUACAGUAUUCUUGAAUUUUAAUUGCAAU
rnacentral:lncRNA from 1 species